rnacentral:lncRNA from 1 species
AAACCUGCUGAGCAGCUACAGAGCAGGGCCAAGGAGGAUUCCUCUGGACUGGAGCCUUUCUCUCUGGAUGGCCAAGAUGCCCAGUUGUCUGGAGCAUACUGAUGUCGGUCUUGCAACCGCUCUGGGACGGGCUCUCCUCUCCCCAGCGCUCCCCAACGCAGCCACCCUCUUCUGCUCGCUGGACCAAAUGGUGCAGACUGGCGCAGCCCCGUGCCGGCCGCCGCGGGGACGGGGAAACUGCCGGCUCGACCCAGCGCGGCGCUCCGGCUGGGCGACGCUUCGCUCGGGACCUCUCCAAACGGCAGGCGCCGCUUCUAGAAAAGCUUCGGCGCGCGGCUGGAUGAGGGCCAGGGCAGGUGGGUCGGCGAGCAGCGCAGGAGGAGGGAGCCGCGGCGCGUGGAAGAGACUCGGGCUGUUCCAAGUGCUGAUGAAGGCAAGGCGGCUGCUAGGAGAUGCUGACGAGCGCGUCUGUGUUUCUGUCCAUCUGUCCAUCCCUCCCUCUCAAGCAGGGGAGGCGGGAGGCCUGGCUCCAGGCCCGAUGAACGCCGUGAUUCCUGGAGCGCAGAGAAGUCCAGAAGGCAUCCUUUCAUCUGACCCGCUGUAUAAGUCAGGGCCCAGGAUCUCCUCAAAUGCAUCCUCGCGUGUAGCGGGGUUGCCAAGUCUCGGGCGAGGUGACCCGUGAAGCCAACAGCGUGCUCCCAGAUGCCAGCUGGAUCGCAUGGCAUUAUGCUUGCCCGUGCCCUUUUCCGCACGUGCUGCCCCUUCCAGCUGUACUGCUGGCUCAGUCGUAACCGAGCGGCCGCCCGUCACGCCUGCAAGCGCCCCGGUGUCCACCUCCGCGGCCGGGACGCCCCUGCGUUUCUGAGCCCCCCUCUGCUAGGAUUCGUAUAACACAACAGACUUCUGCUCUGGAGACAAAAGACACUCGGGACAUGCGAGUCGCAGCUUUUCACAGCCACGGGAGCAUGAAUUGUAUCGUGCCGCGAGUCUCUUCUCUCUGAACCCAAGGCGCCGCAAGUAGGGUUUGAAUGACACGCUUUAAUAGUCUAUUUUGGGUUGUGUACUCUUUUUUGUCUUCAAGGAACUUGAAAGGGAGAAAAAAAAAAUACAUCUGCCCAGCAAAGCAGUAAGGUGUCUCUCUUUUGGAAGGGGUGACACUGGUCUGAUUUCUAUUCCUGCUCGUCUUGCAUGAAACAAGGACAUCUUUUAUGCUUUUUACAGCUUCCUGUCAGCAGCAAUAUGCAUCUUGCCUGCUUUGAGAGAAAUCCCCAGACUCUG